CCUUCGGGGUGCUGACGAGUGGCGGACGGGUGAGUAAUGCUUAGGAAUCUGCCUAGUAGUGGGGGAUAACCCGGGGAAACCCGGGCUAAUACCGCAUACGCCCUACGGGGGAAAGCGGGGGACUUUCGGGCCUCGCGCUAUUAGAUGAGCCUAAGUCCGAUUAGCUAGUUGGUAGGGUAAUGGCCUACCAAGGCGACGAUCGGUAGCUGGUCUGAGAGGACGACCAGCCACACUGGGACUGAGACACGGCCCAGACUCCUACGGGAGGCAGCAGUGGGGAAUAUUGGACAAUGGGCGCAAGCCUGAUCCAGCGAUGCCGCGUGUGUGAAGAAGGCCUGCGGGUUGUAAAGCACUUUCAGUAGGGAAGAAAAGCCGAGUGCUAAUAUCACUCGGUCUUGACGUUACUUACAGAAGAAGCACCGGCUAACUCCGUGCCAGCAGCCGCGGUAAUACGGAGGGUGCGAGCGUUAAUCGGAAUUACUGGGCGUAAAGGGCGCGUAGGCGGUUUGGUAAGUCGGGUGUGAAAGCCCCGGGCUCAACCUGGGAAUUGCAUUCGAUACUGCCUGGCUAGAGUAUGGUAGAGGGAAGCGGAAUUCCGGGUGUAGCGGUGAAAUGCGUAGAUAUCCGGAGGAACACCAGUGGCGAAGGCGGCUUCCUGGACCAAUACUGACGCUGAGGCGCGAAAGCGUGGGGAUCAAACAGGAUUAGA
rnacentral:rRNA from 1 species